rnacentral:rRNA from 1 species
CAGUCGCCGCGGGAAUACGAAGGGGGCUAGCGUUGCUCGGAAUGACUGGGCGUAAAGGGCGCGUAGGCGGAUGGCUUUGUCAGAUGUGAAAUUCCAGGGCUUAACCUUGGGGCUGCAUUUGAGACGGGUUGUCUAGAGUGGAGAAGAGGGUCGUGGAAUUCCCAGUGUAGAGGUGAAAUUCGUAGAUAUUGGGAAGAACACCGGUGGCGAAGGCGGCGACCUGGUCUUUUACUGACGCUGAGGCGCGAAAGCGUGGGGAGCAAACAGGAUUAGAUACCCCAGUAGUCCCUGUCUCUUAUAC